GCCUACGGGCGGCUGCAGUGGGGAAUAUUGCACAAUGGGGGAAACCCUGAUGCAGCGACGCCGCGUGAAGGAAGAAGUAUCUCGGUAUGUAAACUUCUAUCAGCAGGGAAGAUAGUGACGGUACCUGACUAAGAAGCCCCGGCUAACUACGUGCCAGCAGCCGCGGUAAUACGUCGGGGGCAAGCGUUAUCCGGAUUUACUGGGGGUAAAGGGAGCGUAGACGGUGUGGCAAGUCUGAGGUGAAAGGCAUGGGCUCAACCUGUGGACGGCAUUGGAAACUGUCAUACUUGAGUGCCGGAGGGGGAAGCGGAAUUCCUGUUGUAGCGGUGAAAUGCGUAGAUAUUAGGAGGAACACCAGUGGCGAAGGCGGCUUACUGGACGGUAACUGACGUUGAGGCUCGAAAGCGUGGGGAGCAAACAGGAUUAGAUACCCCUGUAGUCA
rnacentral:rRNA from 1 species